rnacentral:rRNA from 1 species
UACAGGGGGUGCAACCGUUGCUCGGAAUCAUUGGGCGUAAAGCGCACGUAGGCGGCUUUCUAAGUCAGGGGUGAAAUCCUGGAGCUCAACUCCAGAACUGCCUUUGAUACUGGAGAGCUUGAGUCCGGGAGAGGUGAGUGGAACUCCGAGUGUAGAGGUGAAAUUCGUAGAUAUUCGGAAGAACACCAGUGGCGAAGGCGGCUCACUGGCCCGGUACUGACGCUGAGGUGCGAAAGCGUGGGGAGCAAACAGG